ACUUAAGAAUAGAAAAGCAGCAUUCUGAACAGCAAUGCUCAUCACAUAAACAUGAAGUUUCCUCCAAAAGGAAUGAUGACUAAUGCUUUGAGGAAACAGCAGACGUCAGACAGCAAGCCCAGAAAAACCUGCCAGCACCAAGAGGGUGUCCUCAACAGGCGCCUGGGGGACAUAUUAUUCUAACUAAAGAGACCAGAGCUUCCCCAGGAAGGGAAGAGGAGAGAAAUGAAGAACGUCUGUGUUCAUGUUUGCCAAAAACAAAAGUCUGAGAAAUCUCUGAGAGACUCUACAUGGGAGGAAAAGUGCAACCCACUGGAGAAAGAGAGGGACUCCGAGGAAGGAGAGAGAGAAGAGGUUGGAAUGAAAGAAAAUGGACAAUCUGUCAGGCUGAACUUUUACACUUAAGAUCAGGGUUCAAACUAGAAGAUGAUAAAAACAAAGGAAAACAAAGCCGACACCGUCCCAGGAGUAACAUACCCUCUUAGAUCACUGUAAAAUGCAAGAAUCAUGCCCUGACACAAAGCUCAAAUUUUGCAAUUUUCAGAGGUUUCCUGGUAACUUUCAUAUAAAUGUACAUAAAUAUCAUGUCAAAGCAAAAGCACACAGUCAUGAUAUUGACUUCUUAUUCUUCCCUGCUUCUUGACAAGAUAAAUCUAAAAAGUGGCACUGAAAAUUGAGAGAACAGCUGAAUAACAAAACCUGACUAGUAAAGUACUUGGUCCUCAUUUUGCAUUCCCCGUUUUUGAAGAAUUCAAAUCAGGAAAUUUCCGUUAUCUAAAUCACAGGUUUCAAUAGGAUUAAGAGAAGAAAUAAGAGAAGCAACAAGGUGCACAGAAAGCCAGCUCUGACCUUUGUUAUUUCAUAUUGAAGCUCUUACUUUGAGAUGGACCAGUAGAUGAAGAGAGCCAUUAUUCAGAGGAGCUGCUCUUGCUCUUCAAAUUUCAGUUAAUAUGACCACAUUAGAAUUAUUUUAUUUUUAAACUUCAGUAACAAGGCUCUCUUUCCUGUUUUCAACACACAUGUUUAGAAUAAUCAGUGGAAACUCUGCAAAUGGAUGAAACAAGCAAAUCCCCCAGGACUGUUUUGUGACUGAUUUUCUUACUUCUCACCUAUCUAAUAUGAACGGUUUAGAUUUUGCUAAGCUCAAUCAUAAACUCAACUCUAGGGGGAAGAAAGUCUCAAGCAUAUGGUUCAACCAACUGAAAAUGCUAUACAAUCAAAAGGAAGUAUAGGCUAGAGGUUUACCAUUGGCUGCUUGUACAUUCUAACCAGUAUUAAAGAUUAACUCCACAACAAA
rnacentral:lncRNA from 1 species